rnacentral:rRNA from 1 species
AACGAACGCUGGCGGCAGGCUUAACACAUGCAAGUCGAACGCCCCGCAAGGGGAGUGGCAGACGGGUGAGUAACGCGUGGGAAUCUACCUAGUUCUACGGAACAACAGAGGGAAACUUCUGCUAAUACCGUAUACGCCCUAUGGGGGAAAGAUUUAUCGGAAUUAGAUGAGCCCGCGUAAGAUUAGCUAGUUGGUGAGGUAAUGGCUCACCAAGGCGACGAUCUUUAGCUGGUCUGAGAGGAUGAUCAGCCACACUGGGACUGAGACACGGCCCAGACUCCUACGGGGGGCAGCAGUGGGGAAUAUUGGACAAUGGGCGCAAGCCUGAUCCAGCCAUGCCGCGUGAGUGAUGAAGGCCUUAGGGUUGUAAAGCUCUUUUGUCCGGGACGAUAAUGACGGUACCGGAGAAGAGGCCCCGGCUAACUUCGUGCCAGCAGCCGCCGUAACAC